GUCAAUCACCCGGGCGGUUGGGCGGAGGGGCGGCCCCGGGCUCGAGGGGCGGGGCCUCGGAAGCCCCCACCCACCGCCACGGGGAGAGAGGCUUCCACGAUUGGUGGGCCGCGCCCAAGGAGGGGGGACGUGGGUGAGGCGCUCCGGUGGCGGAACCCCACCCUCCCGCCCCGCGCCGGCGGGUGGACACGCGGGGCAGUGCUGCGGGGAAAGGGGCUGGAGGGAGAGAUGGGGAAACUGAGGCCUGGGCAGGGGCGGGGUGCGGGGGCGGCUUGCUCGGCUUUGCGGUGUGCAGUCCGGGUGUUGAGUCAAAAUCCGGACCCAGAAGCGGGUGACUGGGGGCGCUUUGGAUUCUGCCUAAAAGCCUUAAGCUUCAAAUGCUCAAUGUUUCUUAAAACAGAUUGCAGCUGGGAUCCCUCUGAGGUUGGAAACACUGUCAUAAUGGGCACGUGUCCUUGGCAUUUAUAGGAAUAGCCUACUUUGAAACCGCAAUACAGAGCAUGAUAAGCAAGCCCCCAAAUGAGGACUUCUAGAGACCUAGAAACAGUCUGAAACUUGAAAUCACUCUGAGAAUCUCCACCACUGUUUCUCUGGGGUUGUCUACCUGAUGGCACCAGAACCAGAUGAGAGGUAAGACAUUCGUAAUAAUAAUCAGUUAAUCCAGUUGUAUGCUUCACACGUCAUGACUUUUCCCCACUGAUUUUACCAGCUAUUGAUGGUUGCAAUCAUUGAGAUCAAACUCUACAGAGCUCCAUAAAGCCUUUACUACUGGAUAGACAUCCCAUUUGCUCUAUUUUCCAAAGGGAAGAAUCAAAACACAGCUAAACGUAAAAAUCAUAAGCCAUCACUCUGAGCCCCUUUUAAUCCCUGCGGAGACAAUACCUUUAAGAACAGCUGGAAGGAACCAACUGCCAAACUUCAACUGGCACUGGGAUUUCUGCAACUCCUUAUACCAACAUUCUGUCCUGCCAAAGAGGGAACCCUGCAGGAGGAGUCGACGCUUGCUGUGCUGAUGAACUUUUGGAACAAUUGCAGUUUUGGAUCAGUAAAUAUAAAGGCAGCAGAGACCUCGUGGGCUUCUGAGUAGAAGAAGGAAAAGAGAACCAUCACGCACACAAAAUACUUAGAGUCCCUGCAGAAAGGGCACACAGGCACAGCCUCGCCCGGCCGCUUCAUAGAAGCAACAGCGAGAGCUCUGUCUUUUCACGUAUAACUCCAGGAACAAGGAGAAACAAAACCAAUUCUCCCCAGAGGUACAGACAAAGAAGAGCACCCUCCCCGAGGAGGCUGAUGAUAAGCGGCCCCGGAGAGCAUCACUGCGAUCAGUCAGAAAGGCAGGCAAGUUAUUAGCUCAGCCCUGAACCUCCUACUUAAUGUAGGACCGGUGGUGAUGGUUAACAGACCCUGGCUGCGGUGACAAGCCUGGGACCUGCUCGAGGAAAUCCAAUUGAAAAGCAGCCAAGAGGAACAACAAGCUAGAAACAGAUGUUCCGGCUCCCAGGAUGUGCACACAUUUAACCUGAAUAUGCAGUUGGGACGGGAUGCAAGCGUUCGUUUCUAAAUAUAGUGACUUCACCUCUUCCCCAUAUAGAUAUUGUCCAGUUCAAUUAUAGCCGUCCACAUUAGUUUUGUUCAACUUUUCGGCAAUUUCUUCAAGAUAAGAAGACGUCAAAAUCAUAACAGCUAUUAAGGGAGUUCAGGGUCUCUGACUCAUAUACCGAGUUUUACUAAAACACUUCAGCUAAAUCGUACACUCUUAAACUCCAGUCUCAUAGUUAUUGAAGAUUAUCUUUUACAAAACUGCCCAAAUGAAAAUCAAACACUUCGUGUAAUUAUUGGAUGUAAUAGUGCUACUUUGGUAAAAUAUCAUUAAGAGAGUUAUAUGUUAAUUAGUCCUGUUCUCAGCCACCUCUGGUUACGAAAUAGGGAGUUGAUGUUGAUAGAGGUGUGAUUGCUGUGCAAACGGGGGCCGGAACUAGCUCACAAGUGUGACAACGUCAGUUAAUUAGAUUUGAAAGAGAGUCGGGUCUCCUGAACCACAGCGAUCUGUCACGUACAUUAGGAAGCGUUCUUCUUGAUGUCAACACAAUUCUGGUUUUCUCUAAUGGGCUUUAUAAGAGGAGGGAGACUAUUUCACUGUGUUGGUUUUUCUGAAGAAGAGAAAUCAAUACUCUCAAUAGAUUUUAAGUAGAUCUAAUGUAGUCCAGCCAUAUGCGCAUAAGAAGAUAAGCAUAUGUAAAAGAUUUUGAAACGUGAAUGAAUGUGUGCCACCCUGAGACCAGAUCUUAGCCCAAAUUCCUGUUGUUGCCAUGUGCCUCUGAAGUGAAGGAUAGCUGCAGAGUGGUUUCUCUGGGAAAGCUUCAUUUUUUAUUGGUAGGUUUUGAUCCAAUACUUUCUUGGGGUCACCGAAUUCUUAUUUGCUUCCGAAUGCCGACAGCAGCACCCCGUAAAGGAGAAGAGAGCUGGAGCUGUCGUCCUGGGCUGAAAUUUAUUGACGGUAUUUGUGAAGAGAGUGAUCUUGAGGAAUGCAAGCUUUUAAAAUCCAAGAACAGCAGCCGAAAUAAAUGAAUCAGGAAUCCAUCACUAAUUGAUACAAGAAUCGCUUACAAAGGAAGGCAAAACAGUUCAGUAAAUUAUGGAUUUACAAAUAAACUUGGUUGUAGGACCUGGGGAAAUACUUUGAUUGGAAUAUAGAUCCAUUUUUCCUGAAAAGAAUUUUCACUUCAACUUCAGAAGGAAGGGACAAGAAACCAACCCCCCUCUGUGAAAAUUUGAGGGGACUCUUUUCUGGUAACAUAGGAGUCGGUGACAAUGGCUCACAGAAUCCAUCUGCUCUCCACAAACUCAGGGGUGGGACCCGUCCACCGUUUUUCUAACUCAUUCCCAUGAAUUCUCAAUUGUCAACACCUAAGGUUAAUGAUACCUGUCCUUUUGCUGUCAUAAACAGUUAGGGCGGUUUAGCGAGAGACAAAUCAUCCUCCCUCAGAGGCUUGUGCCAUUGUUCUCUUCAAACAAAGGACAAAGCUAUUUCUCUAUACAAUUUAAACAUUGUUAUAAGCGAGUAGAGUUUUUUUUUUUCUUCUAUGCUCUGAUGAAAUUACUAGUCUACCACACAUUUCUUUCUUGAUUUGAAACAUCUAUUUUUUAAAAGUUUGUAAAGUAAUAGUGAAGAGUUUCCAUGUGUAAUAGAUCACUCUCAUCUCAAAAUAUGCAGUGAUGUUGAAGGACGGCACGGUAGGAAGAGUCAAGCAUCCUUUUUAUUAUUAGAUAAGCAGCACCUUCCUCGGAAACAUCCUCCCUCAGCUGAGGAGGAUACUUUUCGCUACUAAAUGAACACAGAGUGAUAAAGUAGAGACGGGGGGGGGGGGGGGGGGGGGAAGAAUAGUGCCAGAAUAGCCCACAAGUUCUCAUCCUGCAGUAACUACACGUGAACGAAACUUUUUUCAUGAAAAAUAUUUUAUUAAAGAAAACAAAAACUACUUUUUCACCCGUCCAAAUCUUAAACAAUUUCUUUCCUGAAAAUAUCCCUUAUAUAAUUCAGUAAGCACACUACUAGUUUCAGAACACAGGGUCAUUAACGCUAUAAUGUAAAGUUGGAGGUAUUUGAUAUUAUGCGCUUUUAAUAUACAUUAGGUACAUAUUAAAUACAAUAUCAGGGUAAUAGUUAAACAUGUUAGGUACUUCAUUAGAGUCAUUUAAAAUGAAAUAAGGCCAAGAGCUUAGCAACAAAAUAACAUGCUUAGAGAUAGUUUUACAAUUUUAAUAGAGAAUGUCCUUGCGCUGGGACCAAUUGUGAGACCUUGGGAGAUGGUGGCAAUAGCCUGUCAAUCAUGCUACAGAUAUGUCACAAUGAGAAACAUAUUGCGCCCUAUGAAAAUUACCAAAAAUAACAAAUGAAAAUUUACCUAUGAUCCCCAACCCACCCUCCACUCCACUCCCCUGCCACACGCACACACACAUACUUGUGUGGAUCUGUUUAUCAUUAGUAUGGCACACGUCCUCACCAGCCCCGUGGAGUCUUGGUGUGGCUUCUCCUCUUGGUCUAGCCCUCUGCGCACACACUGACCACACAGACUUAGCCGUGCACACGGCACAAAUUCUACUAUUCCACAUUUUUUGGUUUAAAUGGAUUCAUUCUUGCCAGAUAUUGUGACAGAAAGGUUCCUUGCUGGCCUCACACGUUUUUACGUUUCAGGUCAAUAUAAGUCAAAGGGUCAGCAACCUCCCCACCACCUCAUUUUACAGACAGGCAAGCAGAGCUGGGGAGCAGUGACCUGUGCCCAGCACCCCACAGCUGGGCCGGGCCAGGCUAGACUGGAAUCCAGGGCUUCCCAGGCCUCGUGCUUCCCCAGUCUUCCCUUUGUUACCUCUGGCCUCAAGGAGCUGGCCUGGGGGGGAAAAGUCGUAGUUAUGAAGUUUUAAUAGAUUUUCUUCCAUCGGCACAAAAUUCACACCCAGUGAAUGCCCAGGGUGGCGGUUUUACAGAGGACGUUGGCAUCCAUCCAGGAUGCAAAUCUGCCUUAAGCGGCUGGAGUCUCCUGAGUUUUAUUUCUUUGGCUCUUUAUGGCUCAAUUCCUGGUUUCGUUAUAUAAAAAGCAAACCAGCAACUAUUGCGUUCUUUGCGGCAAUGACUCAAUAGCAGUGCUCACUCAUUCAGCCAACGAAGACUUAUGGAGCCUCCGCGGUGCCAGCAGUGUGCAGGGUGCUGGGAUAGGACACGGGACCAACCAGCCAGCCCUCCACUGGCUUAGCCAGCGAAGAACACUGAGCGCCAGUCAACCUGCUGGGGACCGGUAGCUGUGGAAGCUCCUAGUGGGGGCACCUCACCCAGCCUGGGGGUCCAGGGAGGCCUCCCCAAGGGAGGGCUGCACUAACAGACCUGAAGGAUGCGUGGGAACCGGCCCCGGAAUAUUACUAUAAAUAAGAGCAAUAUUCGUUUGUGUUUACUGCCUCAUUUUAUGCUCUCAAUUCUCCUGAGAGGUAAGCCAUUGAUUUCACUUUAAAAAACAAAAACACAAACCCAGGAUAAACAGAAUAAUAGGCUUCAGGCUGGUGAGUGUCAGAGCUGGGCUAGAACCAAUGCUGAGAGGCUCCGAGUGUUGCCGGUUUCAGGCCAAGGGGAACAUCUUUGUUUUGCAUUUGUUUAUUCGGAAUUUUUCCACCAUCAGCCCGAUGCUUUGGCUUGCCAUGUGCACCACGGUGAAAUACUCAUUAUCGAAAAGUCUUUCUCCCUCAUGGGCUGUUUCUCCCUCUGCUGCUUUACCGUUUUCUGCGCUUUCCAAAAUUCCUGUGAUGAAGAUGUAGUGCUUUCAUAAUCAUGGGGGAAAAGAAAGUUGAAAUAUUUUAAAGUUUUCCCACGCAGGAAUCUAGAAAUUAGGAAGACUUUUCUCUGGGUGGUGGAACUAUGAGUGGCGGGUUUUUCUUUAUUCCAUAUAUUUCCAAAUAUGACCGUACACUGAGGACGGUCAUAAACAACUUUUGAAUGAGGAGAAGCGACUCCGAAACAGUAAGCAGAAUGAAUGCUUAUGGGGCAAGAACAUUUCAGAAAACCCAUUAAAUGCAAAGAUAGAAGAAAACAGAUUGGAAUGGUGUCUAUCUUCCAUACUGGGCGCCAUCUUCACCUGAGGGUGUGACCCAGGGACCCCAGCCACCAGGGACCAUGUCUUUAUAGUACCACACUAUUGUCCACGUUAUUUAUACAGAGGCAAAGCCCAUAUUACUGAAACGGGAGAAGAAAUACAGGAAACAGACUGUGUUAUGGCCAAACGUACCUGUCUAUACUACCGCUGGUUUCCUUCGUGCUGUGUAGACCUGCCACUCAGCAUUUCCCAUAGUUGAGAGAGCCAGAGACACAGAGAGAGAGAGAGAAAUUAUGGCCGCAUUAUGGCACCGUACCAUUAACGCUCAGAGGUCAGUGCUGCUGGUGUAUGAUUACUACUUUUCAUAUGAUUUCCACUUUUCAUCUUCUUGUAAAAUACUGGGAAUUUACUGCUGAUCCUGUGCGCUGCCACUCUCCUAAAGAGAAAAUUACUUCUUCCAGAGAUCUGCUUGCACAAGCGUAAAAUCUUUGCAGCUCUCUGAGCCGCGGGAGAACCCCGUCAGGCCUGGAUAUGCUGAUUUGGCUCUUUUGAGUUACCUGUUCUGGAGAACUUUGGGCAGGGAUUUUCCUGGCAGGUGGCUUUCUUUAUAGUUCUGUCCAUUGAUGACAUCAAGUGUCUUACUGAGUACCUCCUGAAUGCACUACACCUUAUGGAUGCUGUGCAGGACACACAGAUGAGUGGCACAGGGUCCUUGCUUUGGAGAGACCUGUCGUCUCCCAAGGGCCACAGCAGAGGAAAGCACCCACUGAUGAUCUGGGGAAAGGACUGUGCAAGGGGAGGGAAUGACACGUGUGAAGACCCCAAGGAAGAAAUGAGCAGGAAGGCCAUGAGAAUGGAGAGGGGGUCACAGGUGAGGUCUUGUGAGGCGUGAGGAGCUUGAACUUUAUUCUGAGUCCGAUGAGAAGCCAUUGGACAGCUUUGAGCUAGGGAAUGGUGGCAGGUGAUUUAUCGACUUUUAAAGAGAUCCCUCGGGCUGUGAGGGGAAGGGGUUGUAGAGGCCUAAGAGCAGAGGCAAGGAGUCCCUUCAGGAGGCACCUGCAGAGGUCUGGGCUGGAGAAGAAGGUGACCCGGCCUCGGGUGGCGGUGGGAAGGUCACGGAGCUCACGGAGACUGAAGUCCCAGAGCUCAGAGAUGCAGUGUCCUGACUCCACAGCGCUGAUCCAGGUCAUGACGGGGCACCUAGAAGCUGCCAGAAAAUACAUACUGAAGGGAUGUAUGAAUGAUGGAGAGAGCAUUACUCAAAUUUCGGAUCCGGGAACAAUUCUAGGCUGGAGGGUCUCUGGAAGCACGUUGAUUUCACACUCACCUGGGUCAGCUCCACUGGAGAUUUUCAUGGGUCCCAACAGACGGGCUCCCCAAUCCCAAAAGAGAGUGACUUCUGACCAGUUAAGGAGGCCAAUUAAUACUGCACUCAAAAUCCCUUACUCACGAGCACUUUUUAGGAGCACCAAAAAUCGGGGCUCUGAAGCGCUUCUGAAAACGUUCUAUGGCGCGUCGGAAGAUCAUCCUGGCAGUGUGUUUAUCUUAAGAAUGUUUGUUGAAAUAUAAAAACGGUGUGUCUGCAUCAGAGGUUCCCAACCCUGGCUGCACAUAGAAAGUACCUGGGGAGCCUUUGAAAUAUGCCUGCACCCAGGCCCAACCCCGGGCCAGCACCCGCAGAAUCCUGGCCCGAGGCCCCGGCUUCCGUGGUUUUUCAAAGCUCCCCGGGGAUUCCUGUGCGUGUCGGGGAGGAGACACGCUCCAUGGGGGAGGUGAGUUCCUGCCCCCUUGCCCUUCAGCACGGGACCCGAGUCGCCCUGUGAGCAGGCUGCAGCCGAGCACUCGAUGCUCAGCCUUCUACGUGGAGCUCAGACACACCCCCUCUUGAGCACUUGAGAGAAUUACUCGGAAAACUCAUAAUCCACAUAUAUUAAUAAAUUUUAGGUUUGGGAGUUGGUAGCCCCUAAAAGGCAGCUCAGCCCUCAUAACCCUGGCCUCAGCUGCCCUUUCUUUUCUUUCUUUCUCCUCCUUGUCCUCUUCCCUUCCACUCUCUUCCAUCAGGCCCCCCAGACACCUGCCCUUGGCCCCCCGGGGCAGGCCGGCCCCCCUGGCAUCUUCAGGCUGCACGGACCAGCUCUUAGGGGAAGGGUAGGAUGAAAAGUAGUUCUUGCCAUUGAAAGGCCAGAGCAUUUAUAAAAUGUCUUGCUUUACUGCAAAUGUGCUUUGAAAAAUAGCCUGGUAGUUCCUCAAAAGGUUAAACACGGAGUCACCAUAUG